AGCGCCUUCUUCAAUCCGCCGCGAAAUGGAGCAAAUUGAAAAAGUUAGCUAAUCAUAGCUAUCUUCGAAGCCUCAAUUUUCAGCGAUGCCGACUGGAGAUGCAUCACUUCCUUGUUCUCUCAUCGAGAAGUUGGAUUUUAUUGAUGCAUUAUCAGCAAAA